UAGCUCUCUCCUGCUCUCUCUCUCUCUAGCUCUCUCCUGCUCUCUCUCUAGCUCUCUCCUGCUCUCUCUCUCUCUCUAGCUCUCUCCUGCUCUCUCUCUAGCUCUCUCCUGCUCUCUCUCUCUCCUGCUCUCUCUCUAGCUCUCUCCUGCUCUCUCUCUCUCUCUAGCUCUCUCCUGCUCUCUCUCUAUCUCCCUCCCUCUAUCCUUCUCUUCUAGCAGUUAUCAAUCACUCUUCCUGUAACUGCAUUUCUUAGCUGGUCUGCAGUGAUCACCAAUCUAAUCUGGCCGUCACCGGGUAGGAGGGAAGAGAGGGACUAGCGAGAUAUCCAUCAGCCUCCCUGAGCUUGGCUGAGCCGCUGCUAUGUUGACUGAUCAUGAAAAGCAUGCAGUUACUAGCUGUGUAACUCUGGUGACAGAGCUAAACAGUUACUAGUUAUGUAACAGAGCUAAACAGUUACUAGCUGUGUAACUCUGGCGAUAGAGCUAAAUGUGGAGUAAUCACAUAUGUGUAGAUGUGACUAUGCUCUUGGAGAGGUGAUGAUAUUCAAACCAAAUCACCAUCCCUUGAAAACGGCACGUAGUUGUCCGUGGGUUUUAGUACGGAAGCAGCAGCUGGUUGGCUGGCUGGCUAUGUGGGUGUGGCUAAGGAAGGGAAGCAGCAGCUGGCUGGCUGGCUAUGUGGGUGUGGCUAAGGAAGGGAAGCAGCAGCUGGAUGGCUGGCUGGCUGGCUAUGUGGGUGUGGCUAAGGAAGGGAAGCAGCAUUUGGUUGGCUGGCUGGCUGGCUAUGUGGGUGUGGCUAAGGAAGGGAAGCAGCAGCUGGUUGGCUGGCUGGCUGGCUAUGUGGGUGUGGCUAAGGAAGGGAAGCAGCAGCUGGCUGGCUGGCUAUGUGGGUGUGGCUAAGGAAGGGAAGCAGCAGCUGGUUGGCUGGCUGGCUUUGUGGGUGUGGCUAAGGAAGGGAGGCAGCAGCAGACAACAAAGGAAAAGAGCUACAAACCUCACCUCUUCAUCCCCUGGAGUAUAGCAAGAGCAUCGGCUUCUCUCCUCCUUAUUCUCUUCCCUCUCCUCCCUCUCUUCCCUCUCUUCCCUCUCCUCCCUCUCUUCCCUCUCCUCCCUCUACUCCCUCUACUCCCUCUCCUCCCUCUC
ensembl:lncRNA